GUGGGGGAAGGUGGUGAGAAGGUAAAAACUUUCAGGAGAAAACUUUAAAGAAAUUAAAGACACCACCUGUCUUUGGUUACAGAACAUAUCAUAUCCAAUCCCAAGCACUAGCAACGUCCCCAAAAGAUCCUCUCGCCAACAAGUCACAUGUCUCAGCCUCGAUGUUCAAUGAAGACACUCCAAAGACAUUUCAAGCUGAAGAUGUCUACAAAAUUGGGCUUAGUGAAUUUUGGUCCUGAUUUGAGCCACUCCUUUGGGGAACAUAGAAGAGCAGCAGCUCCUGAUUUACCAAGGAAAGCACAUCCUAAUGGAGAGGGUAAUUUCAUCUGAAUUGGUCUUUAAUUCCUGGACGUCUCUUCACUGCCUGGCUGUCAAAAGAGAAGCUUGUUUUCCCCUCUGAAGCUUCAAAAAGGAUAAAAUGAGCUGAAGAGUUUUUGUCUAUCUCUCUGCAUUGACAGCUAUUUGUACCAUGGCCGUGAAUUUGAAGUCUUCCCAGAUUCUUCCUGUAAAGCACACUGCACAAAAUUAACCUCAUCCCAUAGUAGGUCAUGAAUCCCAACCUUCACGCUGACCACCACUAUAGUCCUUGUUUGGGAUAACUUCCCCAUGUGUUCCUGCUGGUUCCUACACUUUUGUUCAACCCCAUAGGGCUGGAUCCUGGGCAUGGUUGUGGAGUCCAGAAAAAGCUGGAUUCUUCUGGAGUCUGAAGUCAUGCUGGAUUCACAAACAUUUAAUGUAAUAAUACCAAAAAAAGAAAAGAAAAAAAAGAGAAA